rnacentral:rRNA from 1 species
UACGUAGGGUGCAAGCGUUAAUCGGAAUUACUGGGCGUAAAGCGUGCGCAGGCGGCUGUGCAAGACCGAUGUGAAAUCCCCGGGCUCAACCUGGGAAUGGCAUUGGUGACUGCACGGCUAGAGUGUGUCAGAGGGGGGUAGAAUUCCACGUGUAGCAGUGAAAUGCGUAGAGAUGUGGAGGAAUACCGAUGGCGAAGGCAGCCCCCUGGGAUAACACUGACGCUCAUGCACGAAAGCGUGGGGAGCAAACAGG